rnacentral:rRNA from 1 species
AGUGAACGCUGGCGGUAGGCCUAACACAUGCAAGUCGAACGGCAGCACAGUAAGAGCUUGCUCUUACGGGUGGCGAGUGGCGGACGGGUGAGGAAUACAUCGGAAUCUACUUUUUCGUGGGGGAUAACGUAGGGAAACUUACGCUAAUACCGCAUACGACCUACGGGUGAAAGCAGGGGAUCUUCGGACCUUGCGCGAUUGAAUGAGCCGAUGUCGGAUUAGCUAGUUGGCGGGGUAAAGGCCCACCAAGGCGACGAUCCGUAGCUGGUCUGAGAGGAUGAUCAGCCACACUGAAACUGAGACACGGUCCAGACUCCUACGGGAGGCAGCGGUGGGGAAUAUUGGACAAUGGGCGCAAGCCUGAUCCAGCCAUACCGCGGGGGUGAAGAAGGCCUUCGGGUUGUAAAGCCCUUUUGUUGGGAAAGAAAAGCAGCAGGUUAAUACCCCGCUGUUCUGACGGUACCCAAAGAAUAAGCACCGGCUAACUUCGU